rnacentral:rRNA from 1 species
UAGGGAAUCUUCCACAAUGGACGAAAGUCUGAUGGAGCAACGCCGCGUGAACGAUGAAGGCCCUCGGGUCGUAAAGUUCUGUUGUAAGGGAAGAACAAGUGCCGCAGGCAAUGGCGGCACCUUGACGGUACCUUGCGAGAAAGCCACGGCUAACUACGUGCCAGCAGCCGCGGUAAUACGUAGGUGGCAAGCGUUGUCCGGAAUUAUUGGGCGUAAAGCGCGCGCAGGCGGCCUCUUAAGUCUGAUGUGAAAGCCCCCGGCUCAACCGGGGAGGGCCAUUGGAAACUGGGAGGCUUGAGUAUAGGAGAGAAGAGUGGAAUUCCACGUGUAGCGGUGAAAUGCGUAGAGAUGUGGAGGAACACCAGUGGCGAAGGCGACUCUUUGGCCUAUAACUGACGCUGAGGCGCGAAAGCGUGGGGAGCAAACAGG